UACAAGAGAGAGAGUGUUACCACCUGUAGCAGCGGUUAUACGCAGAGAUAUGUGGAGCACACAGUGAAGACGCUCUCUGUUUGUUUCUUACACUGAGAUGCUAAACAGGGUGGAGCACACACAUUAUAUAUCCCGGUAGUACUCACCGUAUACGAUGAGUAGUAUAAGUGUGGAGUUUCGCCCCUCAGUGCUGCAGCAGCAAACAUUAAGCACACCGCCUGGGGAGUACGCUCCCAAGACUGUAACUCACAGAAGAAUGACGGCGGGGCCGCCCAAGCGGUGGAGCAUCAUGGUGUUAUUUUAAACAACGCGAAGAACCCUAUCACAUCUCUACAUCCUUUUUCAACUCUAUAGAUAUAGCUUUUUCCUUCGGGGGACAAAGUGACAGGUGGGGCAUGGUUGUCGUCAGCUCGUGUCGUGAGAUGUUGGGUUAAGUCCCGCAACGAGCGCAACCCUUAUUUUUAGUUGCCAUCAUUAGGUUGGGCACUCUAGAGAGACUGCCGGUGACAAACCGGAGGAAGGUGGGGAUGACGUCAAAUCAUCAUGCCCCUUAUGAUUUGGGCUACACACGUGCUACAAUGGAUAGUACAAAGGGCAGCAAAACCGCGAGGUCAAGCAAAUCUCAUAAAACCAUUCUCAGUUCGGAUUGUAGUCUGCAACUCGACUACAUGAAGCUGGAAUCGCUAGUAAUCGUAGAUCAGCAUGCUACGGUGAAUACGUUCCCGGGUCUUGUACACACCGCCCGUCACACCACGAGAGUUUGUAACACCCGAAGUCGGUGGAGUAACCUUUUAGGAGCCUAAGCCGCCGAA
rnacentral:rRNA from 1 species